rnacentral:rRNA from 1 species
AGUGAACGCUGGCGGUAGGCCUAACACAUGCAAGUCGAACGGCAGCACAGUAAGAGCUUGCUCUUACGGGUGGCGAGUGGCGGACGGGUGAGGAAUACAUCGGAAUCUACUUUUUCGGGGGGGAUAACGUAGGGAAACUUACGCUAAUACCGCAUACGACGUACGGGUGAAAGCAGGGGAUCUUCGGACCUUGCGCGACUGAAUGAGCCGAUGUCGGAUUAGCUAGUUGGCGGGGUAAAGGCCCACCAAGGCGACGAUCCGUAGCUGGUCUGAGAGGAUGAUCAGCCACACUGGAACUGAGACACGGUCCAGACUCCUACGGGAGGCAGCAGUGGGGAAUAUUGGACAAUGGGCGCAAGCCUGAUCCAGCCAUGCCGCGUGGGUGAAGAAGGCCUUCGGGUUGUAAAGCCCUUUUGUUGGGAAAGAAAAACAGCAGGUUAAUCCCCCGCUGUUCUGACGGUACCCAAAGAAUAAGCACCGGCUAACUUCGUG